rnacentral:lncRNA from 1 species
AUUUGUGCUUUUUCUACGUAAUAAUUAUAGAUAUUUUGUGAUCCAUCUAUUUGAGUGGCUGUUAUAGGUCUUUCAAGUACUUUUAGUAAAUGUUCCGGUACUAUUUCUUUAUUGAUUAAACAGCUAGUACAUCCGGGAUCUACUAAUGCUAGAGUUUCUAUUUCUACAUCUUUUAUUUUAAUUUUUACUAAAACUUUUAUGGUAGAGAAUUCUUUAUCUUCGUUGCAUAUUAGACUAGUGUCAUUAUUUUCUAAAUUCAUAAGUUCUGCUUCUAGUUUUUCUAAAUGUACCGCCUCUUGUGUAUCUGUUUCUUCUAUGGCGAUUUUGGUUUUUCCUUUUUCUAGGAUAGUUAAUCUUUGUUCUAAAUCAUUUACUCUGGUUUCUAAAGUAGACACCCUUAGAUUUAGGAUUUGAUUAUUCGUAUAUUUUUGUCCGUUAUUUACUUCGGGUUCCACUUGUAUUUUUAAGGUGUUUUCUAUACAAUUUAUACAUGCUUCUAAGUAACAUUUUUUGCAUUUAGCUCUAUUGUCUUUACUUGGAUACCAAUUACAGAUACGACAUCUAUUACUGUCUAG